UACAGAGGUCCCAAGCGUUGUUCGGAUUCACUGGGCGUAAAGGGUGCGUAGGCGGGUCUUUAAGUCAGGGGGGAAAUCCUGGAGCUCAACUCCAGAACUGCCUUUGAUACUGAGGAUCUUGAGUUCGGGAGAGGUGAGUGGAACUGCGAGUGUAGAGGUGAAAUUCGUAGAUAUUCGCAAGAACACCAGUGGCGAAGGCGGCUCACUGGCCCGAUACUGACGCUGAGGCACGAAAGCGUGGGGAGCAAACAGG
rnacentral:rRNA from 1 species